UACGUAGGCAGCAAGCGUUGUUCGGAGUUACUGGGCGUAAAGGGUGCGUAGGCGGCUUCUUUAAGUCUGGUGUGAAAUCUCCCGGCUCAACUGGGAGGGUGCGCCGGAUACUGAGGGGCUAGAGUGUGGGAGAGGAAAGUGGAAUUCCUGGUGUAGCGGUGAAAUGCGUAGAUAUCAGGAGGAACACCGGUGGUGUAAACGGCUUUCUGGACCAUAACUGACGCUGAGGCACGAAAGCGUGGGUAGCAAACAGG
rnacentral:rRNA from 1 species